rnacentral:rRNA from 1 species
AUGAGCGGGAUGAUCUCGUCCACCACCUGCUUGAACUCCUGCGCCUCCAGGGACAUGUCCAUCGCCACGUCCCUGCGCUCCGUCUUCCUCUACGACAACAACCUCACCGGCGCCUUCCCGCCGGCGCUCGGGCGCUGCAGGCAGCUGCAGCGGCUGCUCCUUGCAAACAAUGGGUUCUCCGGUCACAUACCGGCCGCCGCCUUGCCGCAGAUGGAGAGCCUGCAAGUGCUCGACCUGUCGUCCAACUCCCUCACGGACGCCAUCCCGCCUGAGCUCGGCAAGCUCCAGGCGCUGGCCGGCACACUGAACAUCUCCCGCAACCGCCUCUCCGACGCGGUGCCGCCGGAGCUGGGACGUCUCCCGGCGACCGUCACCCUCGACCUCCGCUUCAACAACCUCUCC